AACCCAUGUUGAGGACAUUUCUGCAGGAGCUCUUUUAACCUAUACCAUGUCUCUAAAAGAGACUCCAAUUCCAUUUGCAUAAAGGAGGAUAUAUCAUUAUGGAGCUU